ensembl:snRNA U6 U6 spliceosomal RNA
GUGGCACUCACUUCAGCAACACACAUACUAAAAUUGGAGUGAUACAGAGACAAUUAGCAUGGUCUCUGUGAAGGAUGAUAUGCAAGUUCAUGAAGCUUUCAUAUUU